AAACUUUACAAUGCGGGCAACCGUGAUAAGGAAACCCCGAGUGCCACCACAGGGUGGCUGUCCACCAGUGUAAAAAACUGGUGAAGAAAGGGCCGGGCAAGACCGGUGCCAGCCGCCGCGGUAAUACCGGCGGCUCGAGUGGUGGCCGCUUUUACUGGGCUUAAAGGGUCCGUAGCUUGAUUCACAAGUCCCUUGAGAAAUCCAUCGGCUUAACUGAUGGGCGUUCAGGGGAUACUGUGGUUCUAGGGACCGGGAGAGGUGAGAGGUACUGCCGGGGUAGGAGUGAAAUCCUGUAAUCCCGGUGGGACGACCUAUGGCGAAGGCAUCUCACCAGAACGGCUCCGACAGUGAGGGACGAAAGCUGGGGGAGCAAACCGGA
rnacentral:rRNA from 1 species